UGUCUCCUCCACCCUCCUCCUUUGGUGGAUUCAAGCCCGGGCCGAUCCGUCGACUCGGGCUUUUUUU
rnacentral:ncRNA from 1 species